rnacentral:rRNA from 1 species
GAGUUUGAUCUUGGCUCAGGAUGAACGCUAGCGGCAGGCUUAACACAUGCAAGUCGAGGGGCAGCGGGGAGGAAGCUUGCUUUCUCCGCCGGCGACCGGCGCACGGGUGAGUAACACGUAUGCAACCUGCCCCUGUCAGGGGACAACCCGCCGAAAGGCGGGCUAAACCCGCGUACAUGCCACCGGGGCAUCCCGGAGGCAGGAAAGGCUUCGGCCGGACAGGGAUGGGCAUGCGGCGCAUUAGGCAGUAGGCGGGGUAACGGCCCACCUAACCGACGAUGCGUAGGGGUUCUGAGAGGAAGGUCCCCCACACUGGUACUGAGACACGGACCAGACUCCUACGGGAGGCAGCAGUGAGGAAUAUUGGUCAAUGGUCGGGAGACUGAACCAGCCAAGCCGCGUGAGGGAGGAAGGUACAGAGUAUCGUAAACCUCUUUGUCAGGGACAAAGGCGGGACGUGUCCCCGGAUGAGUGUACCUGAAGAAAAGCAUCGGCUAACUCCGUGCCAGCCGCCGCCGUAAC